UACGUAGGGGGCAAGCGUUAUCCGGAUUUACUGGGUGUAAAGGGAGCGUAGACGGUUAUGCAAGUCAGAAGUGAAAGCCCAAAGCUCAACUUCGGGACUGCUUUUGAAACUGUGUAACUAGAGUGCAGGAGGGGUAAGCGGAAUUCCUAGUGUAGCGGUGAAAUGCAUAGAUAUUAGGAGGAACACCGGCGGCGAAGGCGGCUUACUGGACUGUAACUGACGUUGAGGCUCGAAAGCGUGGGGAGCAAACAGG
rnacentral:rRNA from 1 species